GCGUCCUUGGUGUAGCGGUAACACACAAUCUACUUCUGCGAGAAGUGAAAUGGCUGAGAUUGAGUCCGGGGUUCGACUCCCCGAGGGCGCA